UACGUAGGGGGCUAGCGUUGUCCGGAUUCAUUGGGCGUAAAGAGCGCGCAGGCGGUCGUUCAAGUCGCGUGUGAAAGCCCCCGGCUCAACUGGGGAGGGUCACGCGAUACUGAUCGACUGGAAGGCAGGAGAGGGUAGUGGAAUUCCCGGUGUAGUGGUGAAAUGCGUAGAUAUCGGGAGGAACACCAGUGGCGAAGGCGACUACCUGGCCUGUUCUUGACGCUGAGGCGCGAAAGCUAGGGGAGCAAACGGG
rnacentral:rRNA from 1 species